rnacentral:rRNA from 1 species
AGCAGCCGCGGUAAUUCCAGCUCCAAUAGCGUAUAUUAAAGUUGUUGCAGUUAAAAAGCUCGUAGUUGAAUUUCGGGAUCAGUGCGCUGGUCGUGCCUUCGGUAUGUACUGGUGUUACUGGUUUCUACCUUCUGACGAACCGUUAUGUCAUUCCUUUGGUGUGGCGGGAAAUCAGGACUGUUACUUUGAAAAAAUUAGAGUGUUUAAAGCAGGCUCGCGCUUGAAUACAUUAGCAUGGAAUAAUGAAAUAGGACGUUUGAUCCUAUUUUGUGGUUUCUAGGAUCGACGUAAUGAUUAAUAGGGAUAGUUGGGGGCAUUAGUAUUCAAUUGUCAGAGGUGAAAUUCUUGGAUUUUAUUGAAGACUAACUACUGCGAAAGCAUUUGCCAAGGAUGUUUUCAUUAAUCAAGAACGAAAGUUAGGGGAUCGAAGACGAUCAGAUACCGUCGUAGUCUUAACCAUAAACUAUGCCGACUAGGGAUCGGAUGAUGUUAAUUUUAAUGACUCAUUCGGCGCCUUACG